rnacentral:rRNA from 1 species
AGAACGAACGCUGGCGGCAGGCUUAACACAUGCAAGUCGAACGCUCCGCAAGGGGAGUGGCAGACGGGUGAGUAACGCGUGGGAACAUACCCCUCGGUUCGGAAUAACUCAGGGAAACUUGAGCUAAUACCGGAUACGGUCGAGAGGCGAAAGAUUUAUCGCCGAGGGAUUGGCCCGCGUCCGAUUAGCUAGUUGGUGAGGUAAUGGCUCACCAAGGCGACGAUCGGUAGCUGGUCUGAGAGGAUGAUCAGCCACAUUGGGACUGAGACACGGCCCAAACUCCUACGGGAGGCAGCAGUGGGGAAUAUUGGACAAUGGGCGCAAGCCUGAUCCAGCAAUGCCGCGUGGGUGAAGAAGGUCUUCGGAUUGUAAAGCCUUUCGGCGGGGACGAUGAUGACGGUACCCGCAGAAGAAGCCCCGGCUAACUUCGUGCCAGCAGCCGC